UUGGAGGGCAAGUCUGGUGCCAGCAGCCGCGGUAAUUCCAGCUCCAAUAGCGUAUAUUAAAGUUGCUGCAGUUAAAAAGCUCGUAGUUGAAUUUCGGGAUCAAGUCGUCGGUCGUGCUUAGGUACGUACUGGCGUCAUUGAUUUCUCCCUUCUGACGAACCAUGAUGUCAUUAAUUUGGUGUUAUGGGAAAUCAGGACUGUUACUUUGAAAAAUUAGAGUGUUUAAAGCAGGCUCACGCUUGAAUACAUUAGCAUGGAAUAAUGAAAUAGGACGUUUGAUCCUAUUUUGUUGGUUUCUAGGAUUGACGUAAUGAUUAAUAGGGAUAGUUGGGGGCAUUAGUAUUCAAUUGUCAGAGGUGAAAUUCUUGGAUUUAUUGAAGACUAACUACUGCGAAAGCAUUUGCCAAGGAUGUUUUCAUUAAUCAAGAACGAAAGUUAGGGGAUCGAAGACGAUCAGAUACCGUCGUAGUCUUAACCAUAAACUAUGCCGACUAGGGGAUCGGACGAUGUUAAUUUUUAAUGACUCGUUCGGC
rnacentral:rRNA from 1 species